rnacentral:lncRNA from 1 species
AAUUAAAUCACGAAAAUUUCACAAAUAUAAAUUCACACAAAAUAAACACAGUAAAUAAUUUUUAAAAAAUUUUCUGACUAAGAUUCAUGGUCCCGAAACCACCGUUCCGAUCAGGGUCUAAAUCAAGCUGUUACAAAUACCUUCACAAGGGCAAUACUUUUGUUUCUCAAUUGUUUGACUUUCCGAGCCAAAAAUUUAUCCUGUUCCUCACCAUAAGUCAUGCCCG